rnacentral:rRNA from 1 species
UUGAUCCUGGCUCAGGAUGAACGCUGGCGGCGUGCUUAACACAUGCAAGUCGAACGGGAAACCUUUUAUUGAAGCUUCGGCAGAUUUAGAUUGUUUCUAGUGGCGGACGGGUGAGUAACGCGUGGGUAACCUGCCUUAUACAGGGGGAUAACAGUCAGAAAUGACUGCUAAUACCGCAUAAGCGCACAGAGCUGCAUGGCUCGGUGUGAAAAACUCCGGUGGUAUAAGAUGGACCCGCGUUGGAUUAGCUAGUUGGUGAGGUAACGGCCCACCAAGGCGACGAUCCAUAGCCGGCCUGAGAGGGUGAACGGCCACAUUGGGACUGAGACACGGCCCAGACUCCUACGGGAGGCAGCAGUGGGGAAUAUUGCACAAUGGGGGAAACCCUGAUGCAGCGACGCCGCGUGAAGGAAGAAGUAUCUCGGUAUGUAAACUUCUAUCAGCAGGGAAGAAAAUGACGGUACCUGACUAAGAAGCCCCGGCUAACUACGUGCCAGCAGCCGCGGUAAUACGUAGGGGGCAAGCGUUAUCCGGAUUUACUGGGUGUAAAGGGAGCGUAGACGGAUGGACAAGUCUGAUGUGAAAGGCUGGGGCUCAACCCCGGGACUGCAUUGGAAACUGCCCGUCUUGAGUGCCGGAGAGGUAAGCGGAAUUCCUAGUGUAGCGGUGAAAUGCGUAGAUAUUAGGAGGAACACCAGUGGCGAAGGCGGCUUACUGGACGGUAACUGACGUUGAGGCUCGAAAGCGUGGGGAGCAAACAGGAUUAGAUACCCUGGUAGUCCACGCGGUAAACGAUGAAUGCUAGGAGUGGGGGUGACGAAGUCAUUCGGUGCCGCCCGCAAACGCAUUAAGCAUUCCACGUGGGGAGUACGUUCGCAAGAAUGAAACUCAGAGGAAUUGACGGGGACCCGCUCAAGCGGUGAAGCACGUGGUUUAAUUCGAAGCAACGCGAAGAACCUUACCAAGUCUUGUCAUCCCUCUGACCGGAACUUAACCGUUCCUUUCCUUCGGGACAGAGGAGACAGGUGGUGCAUGGUUGUCGUCAGCUCGUGUCGUGAGAUGUUGGGUUAAGUCCCGCAACGAGCGCAACCCCUAUCCUCAGUAGCCAGCAUUUAAGAUGGGCACUCUGGGGAGACUGCCAGGGAUAACCUGGAGGAAGGCGGGGAUGACGUCAAAUCAUCAUGCCCCUUAUGAUUUGGGCUACACACGUGCUACAAUGGCGUAAACAAAGGGAAGCGAACCUGCGAGGGUGGGCAAAUCCCAAAAAUAACGUCCCAGUUCGGACUGUAGUCUGCAACCCGACUACACGAAGCUGGAAUCGCUAGUAAUCGCGGAUCAGAAUGCCGCGGUGAAUAAAAACCCGGGUCUUGCACACACCGCCCGUCA